GCUUGGGCCUCAAACUCCAAUAUGAUUGGGUCGACCCUGACCAGAAUCAUCAUCAUUAUGGACAUUAUCCUCCUGUAAGCGCUUUCAUCCGUUUGUGUGCCAUCAGCUCGUGCAUUCAUCAAUGGCGUUCCAGAUUUACUCAUCAUUGUGUUCUCAGCAUCAUGGAUUGGCGCCCGAGUUCAAGGCAUUCAUCGGCCGUUUCAGAACCUCCAUGGAUUUGUGUUGAGUUCAGGGCGUCACAUUCAGAUGCAACUUGAUUAUAAAUGUAAAUGGAAUCGAGAGUGGACUUACCGGUGACAGAUACAGCUAAGAUUCACUACCUCCUCCCCCUUACUUCUCUUCUUCUCCUUGUUCUUCACUUUUUCUCUUAUAUGCGUGUGCUUGCGGUGUUGUGCAGUGUGUUGUGGGAAGAUGGAGUCAUAGAGGAUUUCUGAUUUUUGAUUUUCGCUUUGUUUCUUUUGCAUGCCUUUUGGACCGUGAGGAGUGAUUGAAGAAGAAAAAGAUUGAGGGUGAAGAAGGUUCGCGUGUGGAUGGAAGGGUGAGCCUUUAAUUGAUAUGCUGUUGUUGGAUUUGCAAGAUUCUGCAGGGUGCAUGCUCUUGAAAUCCACGGGCUAACAUAUCUGACUGAAGGAGCUGAUCUGAAAUAUUUCAAGCAUGUAACCUAUAAGUGGGAUGGGUUUAAAACCUGUAACUUUUUUAAUUUGAAUUGAAACUUGAAUAGGAAUGUACAAAUAAAGAUUGUAAACAUGGAUUAUUUUGUAAAAAAAGUUGAAGUUUGAAAAGAAAAUUGGAUGUUUUUGGAAAGAUA